rnacentral:misc_RNA from 1 species
GGAAACAAGAGAAUGGUAAAGGUAAAUACAAGUAUGUUUUAUGGUCCUCCAAAACAAAAAAAGAUAAGAUCUCCAUUAUCUCAUAUUACAUGCCAACUUCAAGCAGCAAAGCAAUUAAAGUUAUUAGAGCAGCUAAUUGAGUGAUGGUGAAAAAUAUUAGGACAAUAUCUAGAAGUCUGAGAAUAGUCAACAAUCUAAUCUAACUUCCAAUGUUU